rnacentral:rRNA from 1 species
CCUACGCGUGGCAGCAGUGCGGAAUAUUGGUCAAUGUCCGGCAGGCUGAACCAGCCACGCCGCGUGAAGGCCGCAGGUGCCAAGCAUUGUAAACUUCUUUUGUCAAGGGACAAAAUCAGGCUCGAGAGCCUGACCGAGGGUACUUGAAGAAACAGCAUCGGCUAACUCCGUGCCAGCAGCCGCGGUAAUACGGAGGAUGCGAGCGUUAUCCGGAUUUAUUGGGUGUAAGAGGUGCGUCGGCUGACUGUUAAGUGCGCGGUAAAAUCCCGGGGCUCACCCCCGGCGAGCCGUUGAAACUGGCUGUCGUGAGAUGUCGAGAGGUAUGCGGAAUGCGCAGUGUAGCGGUGAA